UACGUAGGGUGCGAGCGUUAUUCGGAAUUACUGGGCGUAAAGCGUGCGCAGGCGGUUUUGUAAGUCAGCUGUGAAAGCCCCGGGCUUAACCUGGGAAUGGCAUUUGGGACUGCAAGGCUUGAGUGCGGCAGAGGAGACUGGAAUUCCUGGUGUAGCAGUGAAAUGCGUAGAUAUCAGGAGGAAUACCGAUGGCGAAGGCAGGUCUCUGGGCUGACACUGACGCUCAUGCACGAAAGCGUGGGGAGCAAACAGG
rnacentral:rRNA from 1 species